rnacentral:rRNA from 1 species
UACGUAGGGGGCAAGCGUUGUCCGGAAUUAUUGGGCGUAAAGAGCGCGUAGGCGGUCCGGUAAGUCGGUUGUGAAAGUCGGGGGCUCAACCCUCGGAUGCCGAUCGAUACUGCCGGGCUAGAGUCCGGAAGAGGCGAGUGGAAUUCCUGGUGUAGCGGUGAAAUGCGCAGAUAUCAGGAGGAACACCAAUGGCGAAGGCAGCUCGCUGGGACGGUACUGACGCUGAGGCGCGAAAGCGUGGGGAGCGAACAGG